GACAGAGGUGCCGAGCGUUAGGCGGAAUCACUGGGCUUAAAGCGUGUGUAGGCGGACUUCUAAGUCCCUUGUGAAAUCCCACGGCUUAACCGUGGAACUGCUUGGUAUACUGGUUGUCUUGGGCCAUCUAGGGGCUAGCGGAACAAACGGUGGAGCGGUGAAAUGCGUAGAUAUCGUUUGGAACGCCAAUGGUGAAAACAGCUAGCUGGGGAUGCGCCGACGCUGAGACACGAAAGCCAGGGGAGCGAACGGG
rnacentral:rRNA from 1 species